rnacentral:piRNA from 1 species
UUACAAAACAUUUUGAGCAGAAGGGUGAC